UCUGAUUCAGAAUCAGAAGCGGAGGAGUCCCCAGGAACGGCGGAAGCGGCUGAAGAAGAAAUUUCGCCCGACUCAGACCUAACCGGGGAGUGAUCCGGGGUAGCUGAGGAAGAAUGGGACCCAGCCGAGGCUGUGCGAGGUCGCUUGCCGGACCUCGAGCGGGAGCGAGGCUG